CAGCAGCCGCCACGGUAAUACGAAGGGUGCAAGCGUUAAUCGGAAUUACUGGGCGUAAAGCGUGCGUAGGCGGUGAGUUAAGUCUGCUGUGAAAUCCCCGGGCUCAACCUGGGAAUGGCAGUGGAUACUGGCUCGCUAGAGUGUGUCAGAGGAUGGUGGAAUUCCCGGUGUAGCGGUGAAAUGCGUAGAGAUCGGGAGGAACAUCAGUGGCGAAGGCGGCCAUCUGGGACAACACUGACGCUGAGGCACGAAAGCGUGGGGAGCAAACAGGAUUAGAUACCCCAGUAGUCCCUGUCUCUUAUAC
rnacentral:rRNA from 1 species